rnacentral:rRNA from 1 species
AAUGUAAUUAAAUAAAACUUGAGUAUUAAUAGUUAUAAUCUUUAAACUUAAAAAAUUUGGCGGUAUUUUAGUCUAUUCAGAGGAACUUGUUUUUUAAUCGAUAAUCCACGUUGGACCUUACUUAAUUUUAUUUAUUAGUUUGUAUAUCGUCGUUAUAGAAAAUUUUAUAAGAAAAAUAAUUUUCAAUUAAUUAAAUUAAAUAUUAUAUCAGAUCAAGGUGCAGCAUAUAAUUAAGAAAAUAAUGGGUUACAAUAAAAUAAUUUAUAUGAAUAUAAAUAUGAAAAAUUUAUUGAAAGUGGAUUUGAAAGUAAAAUUAUAAAGAUUUAUAAUUUGAUUUUAGCUCU